AGAGUAUAUUUUAAAUUCCUGAUGAUUUAUUUGAACUAGACUCUCAAUUCUAAUGUUUACUUCUUUAGUGUUUACUAAUGUUUACUUGUAUAGUGUGUACAGAUCUUUUAAUGAUGAACACAAAAAUGUCAGUGAAAUGUCCUGACUAACUGACAUUAAGUCAAGGCCACACACACACAUUCCGGAUCAAGACAUAAUGCUGUGCAGCUUCUGUAGGUAGAGCAUUUGAUAAGAGCAGCUUAUUUUUUUUUAUCUUUGUUCUCACUCACACUAAUGUUUCUGACUGGAUCUAUUGAGUCCUUGGUAUCUCUUGUAUUUCCUGAAAUAUAUUUCUGAUGGAGCUUCUCUUUCAUGUCAUGGAUGUAUUCAACUUUGUGUAGGUGUAGAUAUAACUUAGUGAGUGGAGUUAUAGAUGUAUGUAUUGGUUAGAUUCAUGUACAACACUCCAAGAAACAAUGCAACCACUUGUGGACGGUGUAGGAUUAGUUUAUAUGGAAGACUCAGCAAGUGAUAUGAACACAUUGAUCCACUUUUUCUUUAAGUUGGGAGAAUGUUGAUUUAUGACUUGUAGGACGAAAUGAGAUUGUCUUUUAGCUGGAACAUUCUAGGUGCAGGUCUCACCAGGCACAUGCAG